rnacentral:rRNA from 1 species
AAGCCCUUGGGCUGGUUGGUUCCUGUGGAUGAGGCAUUCCUGGAUAGCACAGUAGAUAGGAGCUCAAGGUUAGCUUGGUAGGUGCUAUUAUAGGGGAUGCUGGUGUUGCAGAUCUGCUCCAGUGGAUCGCCGGCGGCAGCAAAUGGCUCGAAGCCGAGAAUGAGCAGUAAGACGAUGAACAUGGCUAUCCAAAAGGCCGUGCAAUGAAGUUGCUUAGAAUACAAUGCUGCUGCCGUCCAGGCAUCAUCAGCCUGUGUAAUCCAAAUUAGUUGGUAGUACAAGUGAUACACGACAAGUGGAGAACAAAAAUUAGAAAAAGAACAAAUCCAGUUUCAGUGUUUCAGUCAAAGGAGAAGAGGUCUUAUUGCGACCUUGAACGAACAGCAAAAUCGAAGGUGAUUCUCUUGCGACUGCUUGGUAAGCUGUGGGCUAUCUGUUAGAAGCUGGAUCCAGAAAGAUUGUUUCCUAUACCGAAACGUUUUGAAAAUUAUGUAAGCUCCUUUCAUGCUGGCAUUUGUCAUGACAUUGA